AUGUAGAGCUAGUGUGUGAAGGCAGCCACCCAAGAGAUUCUGUGUCGAGGUGAUCAUCAAUUUCAGGAAUGAAAGAGUGGUUGGAUUCCAUGUGUUCGGAAGGAAUCCAAUACAAGCCUUCAAGUUUAGCUCAACUCGUAUACUGGUGACUAUGAGGAUUAAAUAGUACUGUAUGUCAUAACCUUUCUUACACUAUAAUAACUUUCUCCUUGUUUGGUCAUUUAA